rnacentral:rRNA from 1 species
UACGUAGGAGGCGAGCGUUGUCCGGAGUUACUGGGCGUAAAGGGUGCGCAGGCGGCCGCGCGCGUGGGUGGUGAAAUCUCCUGGCUCAACUGGGAGCUUGCAGGCGAAACUGCCGUGCUGGAGUGUGGGAGAGGUGCGUGGAAUUCCUGGUGUAGCGGUGAAAUGCGCAGAUAUCAGGAGGAACACCGGUGGCGAAGGCGGGUCUCUGGGCCGAUACUGACGCUGAGGAGCGAAAGCGUGGGGAGCGAACAGG